rnacentral:rRNA from 1 species
UCCUAUAAACUCAAGAGGAAAUAAAAAUUAUGACUAAGUAACACACCCCAACUAUAAAGUAAUAUAUAAUAUUAUCAUUUCUAAACUACUUUAUACUAAAUGAUAUAAUUUAAUAAUUAUUUAUUUAUCUACAGUGAGUGUAACAUUGUGUAACGUGCAAAAACACCACACAGUACUAGCAAAAAAUGUGCCAGCAAAAAAUGUGCCAGCAGCUGCGGUCAAACAUUUCGCACUAAAUUUUUAAUGAAACAGUUAAUAACAAGAGAAUUAAAUUCAGAGGGAAAAAGAUAAUAAUAUAAUAGCAGUAAAAUGUAUAAAAUAAAAUACUUCCUUAAAUCAUGCCCUAAUUAAAUUAACUCCCAACCAUUAAAGUAUAAAUAACAAAAAGGAUUAGAUACCCUUGUAGCUUAUACAAUACAACCAAAAACCCAGUGACUAUCAUCGCAAGAUUAAAACUAAUGAGUUUGAGAGAGAAUUAAAUUCAGAGGGGCGUAUACUUUAAUUCGAAACUACACGAAAACCUUACCUAUGCACAAAAGGUAACACAUCUCCGUAAAUUACUUUUUUAAAAAUGUAUAAAAUAAAAUACUAAUUAAGAAAUUUACCGGUCACCACACUCCUUUCGCACAGGGCCAGUAAGCGCCAUAACUUGUUAACCAAAUCUAACACACUAAAAAAAUGAAAAUUACAAUAGAAUUUGAAAGUAAUUUUUUAUAUCUAAAAAAAAUGAAAUACAUAGACUGCUACAUACCGCCCGUCAAUCCCUAAUAACAUAUAACUACCAGAAAUAAACUAAUAAUAAAAAUUAUGACUAAGUAACAAAAUAAAAUAAAAUAGGAAUAAGUCGUAACAAGGUAGCUGUACCUGAAGGUGCAGCUAAAACAAUAAAUGAAUAUAUUAAUAAAAACAGCAUUGUGA